CCUGUUGCUCAGAGCUCGUGCUCUUAACCAACUGAGCCACUCGGCCAGCCCCAAAUUUCCUUUUUCUCAUAAGGGUACCAGCCGUUGUAUGAGAGCCCACUAUAAUCCAGUAUGACCACGUCUUAACUUAAUUACAUCUGCCAAAACCCUAUUUUGAAAUAAGGUCAAAUUCACAGGUUCUGAGUGGACAUGAAUUUUGGGGGACACUAUUCAACCCAGGAUAGCCCUCACCCAUAUAUGGUGGAAAACCCUGUGUCCCGUGAGGGCUCCCACGCUUCUCCUGCCUCUCCCCCAUGUUUCCUGCUUCUGCUGAGUAUUCGAUGGGUGGUCUGCGCUGGACACCACCCAACUCCAUCAUUUGUGCAUCUUUCAUGUGGGUCAUUCUGGGCAGCGGACGCUCACUGACGUUUAGAGUGACCGAACAGCAUAUUACAGAUGACAACUGGUGCAUUUCUUGGCAGUCUGGACCCUGGACAGAGGCAAAGAGCAGGACCCACCUUCCAGACCAGCAGAAGACACGGGGGUGCUUCCCUAAACUGCAUCAAGCUGGCCCCCAAAGAACAAAAAUUCUGAAGAGCAAGGCCCAGAGCCAAGAAUGUUUAAGCCAGAAGGGGCUUCUAUGAGGAAGGAAACAGACACGGUCUCUGCCCCCGCCUCCCGAGUUCUGCCGUGAGUGUCUGGCCUGUGAAGGGGGCCUGGGCGCAGGGAGGCAGGUGAGCACGAGGGCUGGCUCCUACGGGGGUGGAGGUGGCCACGCACGGGUUGGAUUUAGUCAAGUGAAUUGUUUCUUGGUUGUGAGACCAGAGCACAGGCAAUAAAAGAAAAAAUUGAUGAGUUGGACUUCAUCAAAUGUAAAAACUUUUGUGCAUCAAAGGGCACUAUCAAGGGAAUGAAAACACACCCCACAGAGUGGGAGAAAAUCUCCACAGUCGUGUAUCUGAGACGGGACUAAUAUCCAGAAUAGAUAAAGAAAGUCUACACCUCAAACAACAACAGUGAAAAUCCAAUUUUAAAAUGGGCAAAGGGUUGGGAUAGACGGUUUUGAAAAAGGAGAUACACAAAUGGCCAAUAAGCACAUGAAAAAUCAUGCUAUCACCAACAUCACACAAUGUCAGUAUCACUGGGGAAAUGCAAAUCGAAACCACAAUGAGGGACCACCUCACACUCAUGAGGACGGCUGCCAUCAAAAAGCAAAACAAGAACAGGAAUUACAAAUGUUGGUGGGGAAAUCGGAACCCUCAUGCACUGCUGGGAGGAACAUCAAAUGGUGCAGCCGCUGUGGAAAACAGUUUGGCAGUUGCUCAGGAAGCUAACUAUAGAAAUUCCCCUGUGAUCCCACUCCUAUGUGUAUUCCCAAAGAAUUGAAAGCAGGGACUGGCACACACUUGCACACCCAUGUUCAUUGCAGCACAAUUCACAGUGGCCAGCAGGUGGAAACAACCCAAGUGUCCAUCCACAGACGAUGGAGAGGCAAACCGGUCCCUUCACAUGAUGGACUAGGACUCAGCCCUCAAAAGGAAGGAAUUCGGACCCUGCUACAACAUGGAUGGACCCUGAGGACGUGACGCUACGUGACACGAGCCAGGCACAAAAGGACAGACAUUGUAUGAUCCUGCUUGUGUGAGGGACCCAGCGUAGGUAAAUUCAUAGGGACAGAAAGUAAGCGUGAACGGGUGGGGGAGGGGAAUUAGUGUUUGGUGGGGACAGAGUUUCUGUCUGGGGUGAUGAAAAAGCUCUGGGAGCAGAUAGUGGUAGUGGUUGCACCGUUUUGCGAAUAUAAUGAAUGCCACUGAAUUGCACACUUAGAAACGGUUACAAUAAUGAACAGUAUGGUAUGUAUACAUUUACCAUAAUUUUUAAAAAUUGGUAAUGCAAUAUACCAAAAGCCAUUGAAUUGUCCACUUUCAAUGGGUGA